GAUAGCUGCGCAGAGGUAGCUGAGAUAAAUGUCCUGACUGCGCUGAGAAGACCCAGAUUCCACUUAAGGCUUUCCCCUCCGUAGCGUGGCUGAAUUGCCACUAAAGCUCAUUUUCUGCCGAAGCAGGUUUUCCAGCGUUGUCAACCAUUAUUGAUGUGCUGUAAAUUUUCAAGAAAAAUACAGAUGGCAACAUAUACCCUACUCCCUCCCUCUUAGUAACAUGUGCAUGAUUCAACAAAACAUGUUAUGUGUAUGCUUGUGAUUGGUGUUCCUACUUGUGAUGCUAGUGACAGGGCUAGUAUGACUCUAUGGUCCCAAAAUAUGUUAUCCAAAUUAUGUUCCCAGCCCUAGCACAUAUGCAGAAGGUGUGCAGCUUCGUAUACUUAGUCAAUUCAUA
rnacentral:lncRNA from 1 species